GAUAAGUAGGGCGGGACACGUGAUAUCCUGUUUGAAGAUGGGGGGACCAUCCUCCAAGGCUAAAUACUCCUGAUUGACCGAUAGUGAACCAGUACUGUGAAGGAAAGGCGAAAAGAACCCCGGUGAGGGGAGUGAAAUAGAACCUGAAACCUUGUACGUACAAGCAGUGGGAGCCCUUUAAGGGUGACUGCGUACCUUUUGUAUAAUGGGUCAGCGACUUAUAUUCUGUAGCAAGGUUAACCGAAUAGGGGAGCCGAAGGGAAACCGAGUCUUAACUGGGCGUUAAGUUGCAGGGUAUAGACCCGAAACCCGGUGAUCUAGCCAUGGGCAGGUUGAAGGUUGGGUAACACUAACUGGAGGACCGAACCGACUAAUGUUGAAAAAUUAGCGGAUGACUUGUGGCUGGGGGUGAAAGGCCAAUCAAACCGGGAGAUAGCUGGUUCUCCCCGAAAGCUAUUUAGGUAGCGCCUCGUGAAUUCAUCUCCGGGGGUAGAGCACUGUUUCGGCAAGGGGGUCAUCCCGACUUACCAACCCGAUGCAAACUGCGAAUACCGGAGAAUGUUAUCACGGGAGACACACGGCGGGUGCUAACGUCCGUCGUGAAGAGGGAAACAACCCAGACCGCCAGCUAAGGUCCCAAAGUCAUGGUUAAGUGGGAAACGAUGUGGGAAGGCCCAGACAGCCAGGAUGUUGGCUUAGAAGCAGCCAUCAUUUAAAGAAAGCGUAAUAGCUCACUGGUCGAGUCGGCCUGCGCGGAAGAUGUAACGGGGCUAAACCAUGCACCGAAGCUGCGGCAGCGACGCUGAUGCGUUGUUGGGUAGGGGAGCGUUCUGUAAGCCUGCGAAGGUGUGCUGUGAGGCAUGCUGGAGGUAUCAGAAGUGCGAAUGCUGACAUAAGUAACGAUAAAGCGGGUGAAAAGCCCGCUCGCCGGAAGACCAAGGGUUCCUGUCCAACGUUAAUCGGGGCAGGGUGAGUCGACCCCUAAGGCGAGGCCGAAAGGCGUAGUCGAUGGGAAACAGGUUAAUAUUCCUGUACUUGGUGUUACUGCGAAGGGGGGACGGAGAAGGCUAUGUUGGCCGGGCGACGGUUGUCCCGGUUUAAGCGUGUAGGCUGGUUUUCCAGGCAAAUCCGGAAAAUCAAGGCUGAGGCGUGAUGACGAGGCACUACGGUGCUGAAGCAACAAAUGCCCUGCUUCCAGGAAAAGCCUCUAAGCAUCAGGUAACAUCAAAUCGUACCCCAAACCGACACAGGUGGUCAGGUAGAGAAUACCAAGGCGCUUGAGAGAACUCGGGUGAAGGAACUAGGCAAAAUGGUGCCGUAACUUCGGGAGAAGGCACGCUGAUAUGUAGGUGAAGUCCCUUGCGGAUGGAGCUGAAAUCAGUCGAAGAUACCAGCUGGCUGCAACUGUUUAUUAAAAACACAGCACUGUGCAAACACGAAAGUGGACGUAUACGGUGUGACGCCUGCCCGGUGCCGGAAGGUUAAUUGAUGGGGUCAGCGCAAGCGAAGCUCUUGAUCGAAGCCCCGGUAAACGGCGGCCGUAACUAUAACGGUCCUAAGGUAGCGAAAUUCCUUGUCGGGUAAGUUCCGACCUGCACGAAUGGCGUAAUGAUGGCCAGGCUGUCUCCACCCGAGACUCAGUGAAAUUGAACUCGCUGUGAAGAUGCAGUGUACCCGCGGCAAGACGGAAAGACCCCGUGAACCUUUACUAUAGCUUGACACUGAACAUUGAGCCUUGAUGUGUAGGAUAGGUGGGAGGCUUGGAAGUGUGGACGCCAGUCUGCAUGGAGCCGACCUUGAAAUACCACCCUUUAAUGUUUGAUGUUCUAACGUUGACCCGUAAUCCGGGUUGCGGACAGUGUCUGGUGGGUAGUUUGACUGGGGCGGUCUCCUCCUAAAGAGUAACGGAGGAGCACGAAGGUUGGCUAAUCCUGGUCGGACAUCAGGAGGUUAGUGCAAUGGCAUAAGCCAGCUUGACUGCGAGCGUGACGGCGCGAGCAGGUGCGAAAGCAGGUCAUAGUGAUCCGGUGGUUCUGAAUGGAAGGGCCAUCGCUCAACGGAUAAAAGGUACUCCGGGGA
rnacentral:rRNA from 1 species